GCCAAGCAGCCGCGGUAAUUCCAGCUCCAAUAGCGUAUAUUAAAGUUGUUGCGGUUAAAAAGCUCGUAGUUGGAUCUCGGCAAGUAGAGGGCGGUAUGCUUCGUAGCAUUACUGCCCUAUUACUUGUAGUUUUGCCAGAGGUUCCUGGGUGCUCUUAAUCGAGUGUCUAGGGAUGCUGGCAGGUUUACUUUGAAAAAAUUAGAGUGCUCAAAGCAGGCUAUUACGCUUGAAUAUUCGUGCAUGGAAUAAUAGAAUAGGAAGUUGUUUCUAUUUUGUUGGUUUUCGGAAAUCGACUUAAUGAUUAAUAGGGACAGUCGGGGGCAUUUGUAUUCAAACGACAGAGGUGAAAUUCUUGGACCGUUUGAAGACAAACUACUGCGAAAGCAUUUGCCAAGAAUGUUUUCAUUAAUCAAGAACGAAAGUUAGAGGUUCGAAGGCGAUUAGAUACCGCCCUAGUUCUAACCAUAAACGAUGCCAGCUAGCGAUCUGAGGACGUUUUUUUUGUAGACUCCUCAGGAAGCUUCCGGGAAACCAAAGCGUGUGGGUUCCGGGGGAAGUAUGGUUGCAAAGCUGAAACUUAAAGGAAUUGACGGAAGGGCACCACCAGGAGUGGAGCCUGCGGCUUAAUUUGACUCAACACGGGAAAUCUCACCAGGCCCGGACACUGGAAGGAUUGACAGAUUGAGAGCUCUUUCUCGAUUCGGUGGGUGGUGGUGCAUGGCCGUUCUUAGUUGGUGGAGUGAUUUGUCUGGUUAAUUCCGAUAACGAACGAGACUCUGUCCUGCUAAAUAGUGUCAGCCUCUCUUCUGGGCUGACAAUUCUUCUUAGAGGGACUGGCGGCUCCUAGCCGCACGAGAUAGAGCAAUAACAGGUCUGUGAUGCCCAAGGCG
rnacentral:rRNA from 1 species